rnacentral:rRNA from 1 species
UAGCUUAAUACUCCAUGUGGUUUGUCGAAUGUGAAGUGUCGAUUGAUGUUUUGAUACUUGUUGCCUAACCUCGGAUCAGACGUGAAUACCCGCUGAACUUAAGCAUAUCACUAAGCGGAGGAAAAGAAACUAACCAGGAUUCCCUCAGUAACGGCGAGUGAACAGGGAUUAGCCCAGCACCGAAGCCUGCGGUCAUUUGGCUGUUAGGCAAUGUGGUGUUUAGAUUGGUUUUUGGCAUUUCUGCUUCAUCCUAAGUCCAUCAAUGAGUACGGCUAAUGGACCGGCCCAAAGAGGGUGAAAGGCCCGUGUGGAUGAAGAUCAAGUGGGACAGAAGUGCUUUGAACUGAUCUUGGAGUCGGGUUGUUUGUGAAUGCAGCCCAAAGUGGGUGGUAGACUCCAUCCAAGGCUAAAUACUGGCACGAAUCCGAUAGCAAACAAGUACCGUGAGGGAAAGUUGAAAAGUACUUUGAAGAGAGAGUAAACAGUGCGUGAAACCGCUCAGAGGUAAACGGGUGGAGUUGAACUGGAAUCCCUGGGAAUUUAACUGAUGAGUAUGGCAUGCGCUUGGGCAUGUUGGCCAGCAUCGAGGGUUUGCUUAAUUGCAGGCCUUGGCUCUUCGGAGUCUGGGUACACGUUGCACUUGUCAGGUGUUGUGUGCUUUGGUUGCAUUGGGCUUGCUUGUCAGUGCAUUUUCUCGGGGUGAUCACCACGACCGGCGUUGUUGUCUGUUUGCUGCGGUUAAACCGAUCAGAUUUGGUCUUGUUGGCUGGGUUUGGUCGGGAC